UGCUAUGCUUCGGCCGGCAAAAAACAGUCAACUCAGAACUGGCACGGACCGGGGGAAUCCGACUGUCUAAUUAAAACAAAGCAUUGCGAUGGCCGCUGGUCGGUGUUGACGCAAUGUGAUUUCUGCCCAGUGCUCUGAAUGUCAACGUGAAGAGAUUCAUCAACGCGCGGGUAAACGGCGGGAGUAACUAUAAGUCAAUCGCAGUGCAACUGUCCAAGGAGAGUCGGAACGCUCUGUCACCCCUUUGUCGGGGGACACCCGGUCGACGAUGUGGGUAUCAGAGACCGGGGUGGACCGACAAUCCUUGCCACAUAAAGCGGCAACAGUUUGGACGGCGGAACAACGAGGAAAUGGUGGCCAAGAAAGUGCGCACUCUGCAAAUGCAGAUGCAUCAGCACUAGUCGCAGCCCUCCAGGAUGAUGAAGAGGCUCCUCUGGGAGAAAGCAGAAAUGCCACCCAGACUCAGCAGUCUACAACCCCAUGUGCUACACCCUUCGAGUGCUCCGAUUGUGGUCGGGCAUUCAAGACGAAAGCGGGACGCACACUACAUUCCAAGGCACGCCACCCAGUGGAAGCCAAUGCGGAGGUAGUGGUGGAGCGAGUAAAGCCCCGAUGGGAAGCUGAGGAGCGAUACCUACUCGCUAAGCGAGAGGUAGAACUCCGACGCGCGGGGUCCAGGUUCUUGAUGUGGACCUGCGCAACUCGUUCCCAGCACGAACGCUGGAGUCGAUAAAAGGACAAAGGAAAGAAGGAUGAGUACAAACAGCUGGUGCAGCGCCUGACUUCAGGAGACAGUACCAGCUGGGGGCGUGA
rnacentral:ncRNA from 1 species